GCGAAUCUCCUGGCUCACUAGUCUAUAUAUACUAAAAUAAUUUCGGGUUAUGUAGACUAAAAUGAAGGAACAGUUUACUCGGCCGUGUUGGGUGCUAGAGAUUGGGGGUUUUCGCGAGAAGAAAGUAGAGAUUUCGAAUUAGUUCCGAAUGGAGCCGCUUUUUUCGAUUUCGAUCUCGGAUAUUUUUAAAUUAAUUCGCGAAAAUGACGAAUUUUCGUAAAAAUUUUUGCCCUCUAAGAUGGUAAGUAACGGGUGCACAGACGUUUCGGAAAAUAUGGGUCCGGAAAAAUGCCUAUUCUUAAUGGAUAAAGUUGGUGAGGAUAAAUUGAUGGCCGUGUAAUCCUUCUCCGAGAACGAUAUAAUCGUUUGAAACAUACGUUACUUUCUAUUUCGGAACGGAAAUGUUUGAAAAAAGCGUAAGAAAAUGGUCAGUUUUGACGUCUAUCAUCGAACAUUUCAAUCGCUGACAGUUGUCGUGAAAUGGAACAUUCUAUUUCGCGAAAAAGGGGCGGUCGCUCAAAAGUUCGUUUGUCGUAAUUAUUAUGAGCAAUAUUUUUAAUUUCUGAUAUAAUUUAGAACGAAUUCAAUUGAUUUUUGAAUGGAAAAUCGAUAAUUAAUACGUUUUCAAAUUGAAAAUUUGCAUAUUUCACACCAAUCUUGAAAAUAUUUCAUAAUCAUCAUUACGACACUGAGGGAGGUUCGAUGAAAUUUCAUAUGACAUUUCGAGAAAUCACUCUACAGUUAUCAGUUUUCACUGUUUUCAGCAUAAUAUCGAACGAUUCCGAGCGGUUAUUGAAUGAAAUAUCGAUAAAUAAUACGUUUUCUAAUCAAAAUAUAGCAUAUUUCACAAAUAUUAUGGAUCGUACAUGGUUAUAAUAAUUCUUGGUCUAUGAUGAAAUAUGAUUGAUAGAGGUUAUGUCAAAUUGGGGAAACUUGAUUUAUUUCACAAGUCGUUGUGUAUAAGAAAAACUCGACAAUCCAUCAAAUAAUGCCUUCGUGAAUGGAGAUGUGAGAAGUGCAUUCCAACAGUACAUCAUCAGAAUGAAACAAAUAUUCCCAAACAAGGUGUAGAAGUAUUGGUUAGUACCGUUAGAAUUUGAGUAAUACAAAUCAUAGUGUAUUGAAACAUUCGAUUUACCAAUCAAGUUUUAUGAAAUGUGGCGUUCACAUAUAGUGAAAAUGACUACUAAACACUUAUAUAUGCUAUAUGAAGAUGUAUUUUACAAUGAAUUGAUCCUUUCUGAUGGUUCGAAACUUCUCCUGAAAAACAAUGACAUAGAUAUUUGUUGAUCACUUCAAGAUGAGUUGAAUGUAUCAGAACGACCCUUGGAAGAGAAUUCAAUUUGAGAGAGCAACCUCGGAGCAUGCAGAACAAUUCAAGGGUAGAUGAGCGAAGGAUAUGUCAAAUUUUACUUUUUCAUAGAGAGUAAAUAGCAGGACUUGAAAAUCAAAUUAUUUGUAACUAUUCAAGUGGAUGAAAAUUGUGAUGUGGUAUGUAGAAACAGAUUCCAGUGGAUUUUGCCAGAUAUCGAAUGAUGAGAACUGAUAUUUUUGCGCUGCCACUUUUGAAAAGUUAUACUAGGAUGGAAAAUCAUUUGAAGUAAUCUGAGCAAAAUGUUUAUAUCUUGCAACUCUUGAAAGUUAAGAAAUAUAUUAUUACAUAAUAUUGUAGGAAAGAUAAUUUUGAGGGUUUAUUUCCAAAUAUAUGUAACAGCUUAAUAUCAGAGGUUCAUGCUAAUGUAUUAAUAAAAUUCACAUUUCAAGAAGAAUGUACGAUACUGUUAUAUUCUUCAAUCAAUAAAUAUUCUUACAUUGCCCA